GCGAGGAGCAAACAGUAGUGCUGCUGUCGGAUUAAGGGAAAAAGAUUUUUCUUCAAAAAUGAUGAAAUAGCUUCAAUUUUAGAUUACAAUUUUUUUAAAGCGAAUUUUUUUUUUAAACUACAAUUAGAAUGGGAAAAACAAAAACAUUAAGCUACAAAGAUCUCACUUUUCAAUCAAUCAAUUCAGAUUCAUCCGUUUCUACUACUGAAGCGCUUACUUACUUUAAAUCCGCAAUGACAGCCACACACACACAUUUGGAUAAAUCACAGAUUUACACAAAGUUUAAAGACAAUCCUGCCGUAUCAUUUUGCGUUACUGUAGAUGCCUUAAGGAGAACUUUGUUCCUUCUCUUAAACAUAUAGAUUCUCUCUGCUUGUCAGCCACCAGCAACCUUUCAAUAUAGUAAAUACAACAUUAUAAGGAGUAUUAUCCUUAGCUUUACCGUAAUAUUACAUUAACAGGUUUCUUAAUUCAUCAAUUAUUUGUCGCCAACCAGGUAUUUCCUCUAGAAAAACAGAAAUUGUGUGUUUUAAUAACAAAGUAAACAGUUCCUAAAACAGUUACAUUGAGUUACGCUUGUCUUUGAAAUAGCCCUUUAAAUGGUUUGAGAAUCUAAUUUGGUCACAGGGAUGUUUAUUUUACCCUCCGUGUGCACACCAUAUUAAAUCUUUAGUGAGUUUCAGUCUCAGAGCAAAAUGUUAAACGUAUUUAUUUUGGAUUCCAGGCUAUAGCGGUUGGACCUUAACAAAAUACGUACAAUACUUUGCUGAUUAGUCGAGCUGGUGUUACAUAAAUCCAUUCAGUCUUGGUCACACCACAUGCUCAGCAAGGGUCAGAAGGAUUAGACGAGAAGAUCGUAGCUUGAUCUCUUGGAGCGCUCAGAAGCCGGAGGGAGAUUGUCUGCUGGCGUUUGUAAUUAUGUGCGUGAUUUAGUAUUUAGAGAGUUACGCCCUAUCACACCCUCACAAUGCCCGACCAAAGCGCUCAACUCCAGCAUGUGUUGUUUACGCUAUCCUUAAUAACUUCGCUCUCGCUGUGCCGACAGACCCUCUGUCAUUGCUCAGCAGUCAAUGAUGAAGACGAUAGAUCUGCUCCUUUAAGGCGUCCUCAUUUCCAGCUGACGACAGUUGACUUUGAAGGUUGAAAUGACAACUGUCCCCCUUGGACCUCCCCUGUAGCUUGUUUUUAGAAAAGGGAACUUUAUAUAUGCACUUGAUAGCUACGACGGGACGUCGUCACAUCAAAGGCCAAAGCGAUCAAUCGCGCAGAUCACGCAUGUCUUGCAUUCGAAAAACCAAAAGGCGCCCUCACAAAGCCCAGAGGAGGCCGACCCCGUCGAGAAAGGAGUCGCACUCGGCCGUGUGUGACCAGUGAUUUGUAAAUAAUUUACCAAGCGAGGUCACACAGGGGAAGCUCUCUGUGUCAGGUUUACGCUACCCCAUCGUAAGGCCAAAUGCAUCAUUAACCGGGUGGUGCCGUCGGUUGUUAGUGAGAAGAUGAAAUCUCUUUAAGCUGGAAGGGAAAAGCCGACGGUGGCAAAGGGAGGAAACAGAGAUGCGGAAUGUGGAAGAGGAACUCAGGGGAGGUCAAAAAGCGAUGGGUAAAAACUUAAAACCGGGCGGCAAGAGAAGAAUUUAAAUAUCACUCUAAACCUAAUCUUAACCCUUAACCCUAACCCCUAACCCUAAUCCUGAAGAGUAACGAAAAUAAAAAGACAAUAUACAAUAUAUUCAUAAUUGGCGCUUUAAUGUAACGAGAUUUCCUGACACUUUUGGGUCUAACUGAGAAGACCCUCAGUAGCGGCGUUGUCGUGUAGCUAUUUUAGAGGCACUGACAAAUCAUUUAGUUCUACGAGUGCGACGUCAUCAGGCCGGAGGCCGCUCAUUAAAAUGAAAACAGGCAGAAGUGGUACUUCUUUAGGUUUCGCCGCCAUUCACUGCUGUCUCAAAAUGACAACAUGUCAGCAUGCUUUGAUUCAUUCUGUGGUUUCAAGCCGAUAUAGUCAGAAUUGGAAUCCUGCAGUCGGCGUCUCACCACUACAUGUGUGUUUAAACACGCGCGUGUUUGCACAUGCACUUCGUCGUCUCAGAAGGCGAAAGCCGCGCCAUCGCCAGUCAGUCCUCGGCAGAGUAAUGAGCUUCCGAUCUGUUUUUUUUCUCCUCUCCCUCGCUCGUUACUCCAGAGGGAAGUGUGUUCUAGGGCGGCUAUUAGAGCGGUCAGAGCGGAUCACAUCUCCGCGCUUGACUUUAUUAGAACAUCAUUUCACAGAACAGACGCAUAAGUAUAUUCUACGGGAAAGGACGGAUGUAGAAAUGUUUAACAUUAGUCAUCUGAGAUGUGAAUUGGUAAUGACAAAACCCGGGGUAGAAAGGGAGACGGAGGAUGGUGCAUUCACUUGCAAUGACUGUCAGGCAAAGGGACGGAGAGGCGGUGUAGGAUACAAACCGAUCUAAAACCACCACAAUAAAGUUGAUUUCAUUCAACUGCAUUACUACCACAUUUUGGAUCUUUUUACCAGUCAUUGUCCAACAGCAUCAACCAAUUAGAUCCCAUCGACGUGUUUCUGCCACAAGACCCGACUGAGCACAGAGAGGGGAGCAUGCAAACAUCCGUGAUGAGGACAUGAUGAUCUUCAACACCCUCCAAACCAGAAAGCUUCUAUCCCCUUGUUACCCCUGACAAUAUGCCUGCACGUGGAAGCGAGGGGUCUCCAGGAAGCACGGCCGCGCCACCGUGCAAACAUCGGAGUUAUCCUCAUCCUCGACCUCUAUAGAAGAUGGACUGAAAAUAGCUGGGAGGUGACAGGCAGACUGGUCCGUCUGCCACAAACCGAAAUGAGAGACUGUGGCACUGAUUGCGCACGGAGACACAGCUGCGUCGGGGCCACUGUGUCCCUCAUCUUCAUGGGGAAUGUAUUCGCGUGAAGAAUGAAAACUUUGUUGAUCAUUGCCAGACGUGGAGCCACAUUUACAAAGAAAAAGCAGUUCAAUAUUUCUCGGUAAUCCGGAUAUUUGGGGAUCGUGGAAGAAAAGCUGGAGAUUCUCCACCGUUCAAACAAAGUCCACCUUUGCUUGAAUAGAUGGAAUGGAUAUAACUGAAGAUUUCUCCUGUGGACGGCAUGGGACUUGAAAUUCAAACUGAUCUUCAACCUUCAAUGGAAAACUUCUCUAAAAAGCAAUAAGAAAACAUAGUUGUGCAACCACGGGACUCACUGAGGACUGGAUGAUGCACUUACGACAAGGAUGCUUUGGAGGCUCCUUUGGGACAACUAAAGCCAAAAUAUUCAUAUUCAAUAAGUGCAAAAGACGUUAUAUCAACAAAAAAAAGUGUUAUACAGUACAAACAUGUUGUGCAUACACUCGCCGACCCAGAGAGGAGAGGACAUACGAGAAAAGGAUUACUAUGCAAAUAUGAGAGAUUUGGUUUGAUAGUAAACUGCAGGACUUCAAUGUUGGAAAUGUAAAGAUGCUACCCUUGUAGCAAUAUGUUUACCUCACUUUACAUGCAUGGCAACCAGCAGAUCUCUCUCUUUCCCCUUACUGUCCUCCUUGAUGGAAAAAAGUAUUUGCCUCUUCACGAGUAUCAGUCAUUUUCACCUCUGUAAAACAAAUACAGUGGUUCAUUGGUAAUAUAUGAUUAUGUGUUGGGGUUCGCUCGACAUUUGAAUCUCGAUCUCCAUGACAUUUCUUUCUAUAUGUCAGCAUUAGUUUCUAUGUGAGGACUUCCUCUCUUGUACAUUUUAAAUCAUGCCCAAAAGUUCCUCAGGUGGACCUUUUGACUUUUGACUUCUGUGAUGUAACUUCAAUAAAUUGAUAAGAAUGUGA